ensembl:snRNA U6 U6 spliceosomal RNA
GUGCUUGCUUCAACAGCACAUAUACUAAAACUGGAGCAAUACAGAGAUGAUUAGCAUGGCCCCUGCACAAGGAUGACAUGCAAAUUAGUGAAGUGUUCCAUAUUUUU